rnacentral:rRNA from 1 species
AUUGAACGCUAGCGGGAUGCUUUACACAUGCGAGUCGAACGGCAGCGCGGACUUCGGUCUGGCGGCGAGUGGCGAACGGGUGAGUAAUGUAUCGGAACGUGCCCAGUAGCGGGGGAUAACUACGCGAAAGCGUAGCUAAUACCGCAUACGCCCUACGGGGGAAAGCAGGGGAUCGUAAGACCUUGCACUAUUGGAGCGGCCGAUAUCGGAUUAGCUAGUUGGUGAGGUAACGGCUCACCAAGGCGACGAUCCGUAGCUGGUUUGAGAGGACGACCAGCCACACUGGGACUGAGACACGGCCCAGACUCCUACGGGAGGCAGCAGUGGGGAAUUUUGGACAAUGGGGGCAACCCUGAUCCAGCCAUCCCGCGUGUGCGAUGAAGGCCUUCGGGUUGUAAAGCACUUUUGGCAGGAAAGAAACGUCGCGGGCUAAUACCCCGUGGAACUGACGGUACCUGCAGAAUAAGCACCGGCUAACUACGU